UGUUGUUAGUUUGGUUGAAAAUUAGGUUUUGAUUUGGAUUUGGUAAGGGUUAGAUUAGCUUGAGCAUCUGGAACUCUGGUUUGCUGGAUUUUAGACCUAUGUUGGUCUUCUACCCUAAUUGAAUUGAGAAGUUGAGUUAGGGUUAGUUCUCCUUGCUUAUGGAGUUGACCUUUAGCAAAGCCAUCCCAAGAAGGAGAUAAUUUAUC
rnacentral:lncRNA from 1 species